UACGAACCGUACAACCGUUAUUCGGAAUCACUGGGCUUAAAGGGUGCGUAGGCGGCCAUGUAAGUGAGGUGUGAAAUCCCUCGGCUCAACCGAGGAACUGCGCUUCAUACUGCAUGGCUUGAGGGAGACAGGGGUAAGCGGAACUGAUGGUGGAGCGGUGAAAUGCGUUGAUAUCAUCAGGAACACCGGUGGCGAAAGCGGCUUACUGGGUCUCUUCUGACGCUGAGGUACGAAAGCUAGGGGAGCAAACGGG
rnacentral:rRNA from 1 species